CCCUUAGAUGUUCUGGGCCGCACGCGCGCUACACUGAUGCAUUCAACAAGUUCUACCUUGGCCGAGAGGCCUGGGAAAUCUUUCAAAUAUGUAUCGUGAUAGGGAUAGAUUAUUGCAAUUAUUAAUCUUGAACGAGGAAUUCCUAGUAAAUGCAGAUCAUCAUUCUGCGUUGAUUACGUCCCUGCCCUUUGUACACACCGCCCGUCGCACCUACCGAUUGAAUGAUCCGGUGAAGCCUCGGGAUUGUGCCCAGAGAACUUUAUUGUGAUUUGGGUGUGAGAACCUGUCUAAACCUUAUCAUUUAGAGGAAGGUGAAGUCGUAACA
rnacentral:rRNA from 1 species